rnacentral:rRNA from 1 species
UCUGCAACCCGACUCCACGAAGCUGGAUUCGCUAGUAAUCGCGCAUCAGCCACGGCGCGGUGAAUACGUUCCCGGGCCUUGUACACACCGCCCGUCAAGCCAUGGGAGCCGGGGUACCUGAAGUGCGUAACCGCGAGGAUCGCCCUAGGGUAAAACUGGUGACUGGGGCUAAGUCGUAACAAGGUAUC